rnacentral:tRNA from 1 species
AAAAUCCGUUGGUUUCGCGGGACCGUGAGGG